AGCAGCCGCGGUAAUUCCAGCUCCAAUAGCGUAUAUUAAAGUUGUUGCAGUUAAAAAGCUCGUAGUUGAAUUUCGGGAUCAAUACGCCUGUCGUGCCUUCGGUACGUACGGGUGUAACUGGUUUCUACCUUCUGAGGAUCCUUGAUGUCAUUAAUUUGGUGUCUUGGGGAAUCAGGACUGUUACCUUGAAAAAAAUUAGAGUGUUUAAAGCAGGCAUACGCUUGAAUACAUUAGCAUGGAAUAAUGAAAUAGGACGUUCGAUUCUAUUUUGUUGGUUUCUAGGAUCGACGUAAUGAUUAAUAGGGAUAGUUGGGGGCAUUAGUAUUCAAUUGUCAGAGGUGAAAUUCUUGGAUUUAUUGAAGACUAACUACUGCGAAAGCAUUUGCCAAGGAUGUUUUCAUUAAUCAAGAACGAAAGUUAGGGGAUCGAAGACGAUCAGAUACCGUCGUAGUCUUAACCAUAAACUAUGCCGACUAGGGAUCGGAUGAUGUUAAUUUUUAAUGACUCAUUCGGCGCCUUA
rnacentral:rRNA from 1 species